UUCGCAAUGCCCGAAAGGGUGAACGAGCGACGCCGCGUGCGGGAUGAAGGCCUUCGGGUUGUAAACCGCUUUUCUUAAGGAAGAACUUAAUGACGGUACUUAAGGAAUAAGAGGUUACUAACUCUGUGCCAGCAGUAGCGGUAAUACAGAGACCUCAAGCGUUAUCCGGAUUUAUUGGGCGUAAAGGGUGUGUAGGCGGCCGCGCAAGUCUGGUGUGAAAUCUUCACCGCUCAACGGGAAGAGGGCACUGGAAACUGCGCGGCUCGAGUAUGGUAGAGGCAAGCGGAAUUCCUGGUGUAGCGGUGGAAUGUGUAGAGAUCAGGAAGAACACCGGUGGCGAAGGCGGCUUGCUGGGCCAUUACUGACGCUGAGACACGAAAGCGUGGGGAGCAAACGGGAUUAGAUACCCCGGUAGUCCACGCGGUAAACGGUGGGCACUAAGUAGAGGGGUUUU
rnacentral:rRNA from 1 species